AUGGCUAUUGGUAUUCCUCCUCUCAACAAAUGGAGCAGCAAGCACCUUGUAGUCGCAGGUAGCACAGGAACCCUGGUCGUCAUCGCCAUAGCGGCCGUCAUCAUCAUCAGCCUAUCGCCGCCGCAAGUCUUCUUCUCCAUCCAGGAUGCGAAGCUGCUAGAUGGGCGGUACAAGGAGCAAAAAUUCUACACCUUCAGCCUGUCAGCCAACAACACCAGCCGGCGCAUGCAGACGCACUACACCAACGUUGACGCCGUGAUAUGGAUAGAUCCGACUAAGUGGUAUCCCGCCGAGGUGAACAUGAGCGGGUUCCAGUUCCAGCAGUACGUCCAGCCGCCACGGAAUGUGACCAAGGUGCCAUGGCGCGCCCAGUGGGCGCAGUAUGAUAACCCGACGGAGGGCGGCGGUGGCAGCGCUGGGCACUGGCCCAACUGCACGGUGGUGGUGAUGGCCAAGAUCAACCAUGCCAAUCUCCACAUGAAAAAUCACAGCUACAGAUGUUGGGGAUUUGGUCCCAGCCUUAGAAAAGAAAAGGUAGAAGAAGCAUAUUAA
rnacentral:rRNA from 1 species